rnacentral:rRNA from 1 species
GAAGGUGGCCUGUGAGGGUUGCUGGAGGUAUCAGAAGUGCGAAUGCUGACAUAAGUAACGAUAAAGCGGGUGAAAAGCCCGCUCGCCGGAAGACCAAGGGUUCCUGUCCAACGUUAAUCGGGGCAGGGUGAGUCGACCCCUAAGGCGAGGCCGAAAGGCGUAGUCGAUGGGAAACGGGUUAAUAUUCCCGUACUUGGUGUUACUGCGAAGGGGGGACGGAGAAGGCUAUGUUGGCCGGGCGACGGUUGUCCCGGUUUAAGCGUGUAGGUGUGUGUUCCAGGUAAAUCCGGUUCACUUUAACACUGAGGCGUGACGACGAGGCACUACGGUGCUGAAGCAACAAAUGCCCUGCUUCCAGGAAAAGCCUCUAAGCAUCAGGUAACAUCAAAUCGUACCCCAAACCGACACAGGUGGUCAGGUAGAGAAUACCAAGGCGCUUGAGAGAACUCGGGUGAAGGAACUAGGCAAAAUGGUGCCGUAACUUCGGGAGAAGGCACGCUGACACGUAGGUGAAGUGAUUUACUCAUGGAGCUGAAGUCAGUCGAAGAUACCAGCUGGCUGCAACUGUUUAUUAAAAACACAGCACUGUGCAAACACGAAAGUGGACGUAUACGGUGUGACGCCUGCCCGGUGCCGGAAGGUUAAUUGAUGGGGUCAGCGCAAGCGAAGCUCCUGAUCGAAGCCCCGGUAAACGGCGGCCGUAACUAUAACGGUCCUAAGGUAGCGAAAUUCCUUGUCGGGUAAGUUCCGACCUGCACGAAUGGCGUAAUGAUGGCCAGGCUGUCUCCACCCGAGACUCAGUGAAAUUGAACUCGCUGUGAAGAUGCAGUGUACCCGCGGCAAGACGGAAAGACCCCGUGAACCUUUACUAUAGCUUGACACUGAACAUUGAGCCUUGAUGUGUAGGAUAGGUGGGAGGCUUUGAAGUGUGGACGCCAGUCUGCAUGGAGCCGACCUUGAAAUACCACCCUUUAAUGUUUGAUGUUCUAACGUGGACCCGUUACCCGGGUUGCGGACAGUGUCUGGUGGGUAGUUUGACUGGGGCGGUCUCCUCCUAAAGAGUAACGGAGGAGCACG